rnacentral:lncRNA from 1 species
CUGGGAAGUCCCAGGGAGUGAGCGUGAUGAAGUCCAUCACUAUUCAAUAAAGCUUGUUUUCAAUAAGCCACCGAGAAAGCCCAACGUGCUCGCUAGGAGUCAAGCCAGCGACUGCGGCGGAGGAGACGAUCAGAUUCUUUUUCAAGAGUUCUACAGCUUUACAGCCCCAGUGCCAGCUAUGGCCUGGCAAGGUCAGCCUGGCGGCCCCUUUACUGCAUCCACCCGGAGCUCCCAUGUGGCUGCGGCCCGAGACUGGCAGUGGGCGUUCCUGGUGGCAGAGGUACUGAAGUGGCACAUACAGCUUUGUCUCUUUACAGAGUGGUUCCAGUAGGGUACAGAGUCCAAAUCCAUGGAGAGGAAAACAGUCCAACUUGGGGACAAAGGCUGAUGGCCCUGCCGGUGGCCCAGCUGGGGCAGGCUCACUAAUCAGCGCUGCCUUGACUGUGUUACCUUGGGCUGUAGCCAGCUGGCAGGGUGAAGGUGGGGUUCUAAGUUCUACCAACAGGCUCGCAGCCCUCUUCUGGGAACAGGUGUGGGGCUGCCCCUCCCCAGCCGGGCCCUGGGAACUCUGCACAUGUGGCACCUGCAGAUGACAUCCCAGAGAGGAGGGAGCGGCCACUGCCAACCCUGUGGGGCGGGCUGUCCCCAAACCCCUCCCAUGCCUACGCCAGCACCUGCAGCAUUGCUCCUGAGAUUAUCCGGGGUGGAGGAAGAUGGACCACUCCUGACCCAUCACAAAGUGACGAGGCCCGCCAGGCCCUACCUAGCUGGUCUUCGGCUCCAUAGGGCAGCUGCGGCUGGCACGCCGCGGGCUCCGAGUCCUGGCACCAGUGAAGCUAAGGCACAGCACGGGCACUGGCAGAUGUGACCGUGCACUGCUUGCCCGACAGGAAGCGGCACUCAAUAAAUCUGCAUUUUUUAAACCAGCUCAAAACAGUAUCUGCAUUUUAAAAAAAGUUUCCCUGAAUGGUCUUGAGAGUGUCAAAAAAGUUUUCUUUUGAAAUAUAAAACAGGAAAAUUACAAGUGUAGUAAAAACAUUGAGUAUCUUUUUUUCUUCUUCACAGAAACCGUGACGCGGCUUGAGGUGUGUGGGGAGGGCUGAG